GUGCUAGCUUCGGCAGCACGUAUACUAAAAUUGGAACGAUACAGAGAAGAUUAGCAUGGCCCCUGAACAAGGAUGACAUGCAAAUUCGUGAAGCAUUCCAUAUUUUA
rnacentral:snRNA from 1 species